GAUGAACGCUGACAGAAUGCUUAACACAUGCAAGUCUUUGGUGAAGCUGUGCUUGCACAGCCUAGCCAGGGCGGACGGGUGAGUAACGCGUCAGGAACUUGCCCUGCAGUCAGGGAUAACAGACGGAAACGAAUGCUAAGACCUGGUAAAGUCAGGCGGACUCAUGUCCAGCCUGAUGAAAAGAGAUGCUGCAGGAGAGCCUUGCGUCCUAUUAGCUUGUUGGUGGGGUAACGGCCCACCAAGGCAAUGAUCGGUAGCCGGCCUGAGAGGGUGGACGGCCACAAGGGGACUGAGAGACGGCCCUUACGCCUACGGGAGGCAGCAGUGGGGAAUAUUGGACAAUGGGGGCAACCCUGAUCCAGCUAUUCUGUGUGCACGAUGAAGGUUUUCGGAGUGAAAAGUGCUUUCAGCAGGGAAGAAAAAAAUGACGGUACCUGCAGAAGAAGCGACGGCUAAAUACGUG
rnacentral:rRNA from 1 species